rnacentral:rRNA from 1 species
UACAGAGGUCCCAAGCGUUGUUCGGAUUCAUUGGGCGUAAAGAGCUCGUAGGCGGUUUGUCGCGUCGGCCGUGAAAUCUCCACGCUUAACGUGGAGCGUGCGGUCGAUACGGGCAGACUUGAGUUCGGUAGGGGAGACUGGAAUUCCUGGUGUAGCGGUGAAAUGCGCAGAUAUCAGGAGGAACACCGGUGGCGAAGGCGGGUCUCUGGGCCGAUACUGACGCUGAGGAGCGAAAGCGUGGGGAGCGAACAGG